rnacentral:rRNA from 1 species
CAGUAGCCGCGGUAAUACAGAGGUCCCGAGCGUUGUUCGGAUUCACUGGGCGUAAAGGGUGUGUAGGUGGUUCGGUAAGUCAGGUGUGAAAUCCCACAGCUCAACUGUGGAACUGCAUUCGAUACUGCUGAACUAGAGGCUUGGAGGGGGAAGCGGAAUUCUUGGUGUAGCGGUGAGAUGCGUAGAUAUCAAGAGGAACACCGGUGGCGAAGGCGGCUUCCUGGACAAGUCCUGACUCUGAAACACGAAAGCCAGGGGAGCGAAUGGGAUUAGAUACCCGCGUAGUCCCUGUCUCUUAUAC